rnacentral:tRNA from 1 species
GGCCGUUUGGUGUAGUUGGUUAUCACGCAUCCUUCACACGGAUGAGGUCGCUAGUUCGAACCUUGCAAUGGUCA